GCAGCCACUAAGCGCCCCCUUUGGUAAGUAGUAGGUAUUGCAGGUUAGAUUUGCCCAGUCAUGUUCCUUGUUAAUUUCCAUCAUUCUCAAUAAGGCAGUUCAGUGGAAGGAUGCGUGAAGACACCAUCCAAUUGAUAUCUUUGGUUUAGUUCGCCAUCCACUGGUUUUUGUGUUCUGUGUGCGUCCAAGGAUAUAACCACACACACACACACACAAAUGUAUCACAACUGCACCAGUAUGCAAGUAUAUGUACAGAUCUUCUUUGAUGGCGAAUAAAUAUUGAAGAUUUUGA